UACGUAGGGUGCAAGCGUUAAUCGGAAUUACUGGGCGUAAAGCGUGCGCAGGCGGUUAUGCAAGACAGAUGUGAAAUCCCCGGGCUCAACCUGGGAACUGCAUUUGUGACUGCAUAGCUAGAGUACGGUAGAGGGGGAUGGAAUUCCGCGUGUAGCAGUGAAAUGCGUAGAUAUGCGGAGGAACACCGAUGGCGAAGGCAAUCCCCUGGACCUGUACUGACGCUCAUGCGCGAAAGCGUGGGGAGCAAACAGG
rnacentral:rRNA from 1 species